rnacentral:snRNA from 1 species
AUACUUACCUGGCAGGGGAGGUACCAUGACCGCAAAGGUGGUUUUCCCAAGGUGAGGCUUAUCCAUUGCACUCCAGAUGUGCUGACCCCUGUGAUUUCCCCAAAUGCGGGAAACACGACAGCAUAAUAUGUGGUAGUGAGAGACUGUAUUCUCGCUUUCCCCUA